CGCUGUCACCCAGGCCAGAGUGAAAUGGUGUGAUCUCAGCUCACUGCAGCCUCGACCUCCCCAGCUCAAACGAUCCUUCCACCUCAGCAUCCCAAGUAGCUGGGACUACAGGAGUAGAAAAUGUCUGCAAUGUGAAUACUAUAAUCCACUUGCUUCAUGAGCAUUGGCCUGUACCACAAAGUCAAGGUUUCCCAAAUUGCUUCACUCCACAAACGUUUUCCAAGCCAUUUGUGAAUGGCCUUAAUUAAGAAGACUGGAAAUGUGUCUCCUGGAAAGAUCAAGGUAAAUCUCCUUCACAGGCCCCACCCCUAUGCUGUUCUGGGGUCCGAACCUUAGGGGCUAUUGAAAUGCCUGUCCCCAGUAUCGUAAGUGCUGUUUGCCGUUUUGUGUUGCUCUGUAAUUGUUUCAGAUAUUCAAACUCCGCUAGGUUUUGAAUCUUUACAAGCACGGGAAAUUCUCUUCUACUUUAAACAAAAUAUAAGAGGUCAUACCCCGAUCGGGGGCCAGCAAACCUGCCCACAGACCAAAUCCUGCCAGGGCCUGUUUUUGUUCGUGAAGGUUUAUUGGAGCCCAGACAAUUUGUUGAUAUAGUGUCUGUGGCUGCUUCCACACCACAGCAGCGGAGUUCGUGGCUGCCAUAGACUAUGGUCCACAAAGCCAAAAAUAUUUACUAUCAGGCCCUUCACAGAAACAUUUUUUGACCCCUUCCCUGGAACCAUAUGUAGAAUUUUAAAUUAAUUAAGCUGAUUAAACCAAUGUACAAUGUACUUGACCUAGGGGUAAAAAAGUUCUUUUGGGAAUAGAGGAAAUGGUCUGGAAAGAUGUACCACAAACUGUUGACAAAAACUUCUAAGUGGGAAUUGAGUUGAGAAUUGAAGAGAAACUUUUUACUCUUUUAUACUUCUGGUGUUUAUGAAAUAAUAUGGCAGAUGUUUUUAGAAUUUGUUUUGUUUUCAGGGAUGCUGUCCUCUCUUGGGCUAGGCCCUACUCUCUGCUGCAAUGGGACAACAGUUUUCGGGACAUUGAGAGAGAGUACCAAUCACUAGGGUUUUACUGUCCCUUUGUUUUUUAAAAACCCAGGCUGGGUGCGGUGGCUCACACUUGUAAUCCCAGCACUUUGUGAGGCUGAGGUGGGUGGAUGGCUUGAGGCCAGGAGUUUGAGACCAGCCUGAUCAACAUGGUGAAACCCCGUUGCUAAUAAAAAUACAAAAAAAUUAGCCAGGCAUGGUGGCGUGUACCUGUAAUCCCAGCUACUAGGGAGGCUGAGGCACAAAAAUAGCUUGAACCUGGGAGGCAGAGGUUGCAGUGAGCCAGGAUCACACCACAGCACUCCAGCCUGGGGGACAGAGUAAAACUCCGUCUUAAAAAAACAACACCACACACAAAAAAACAAAAAAACCCAGUGCUCAGCCAUAUUAAGAUAUUAUCUGCAUUGCUUUGAGCCCUCAGCCUAGGGUAGGGCUUCCUUAUUGUCUAAACAAUGCUGGACCCCCAAACUGGCAUGCUUUAAAGGUGGGAGAGGCAGACCAAGGGGGUGUGCUUGCAAGCCACAGCCAAGCUCUGGGGGGCUUGUGGGGAGAUUGCAAAAAAAGAGGGUAGGUGGUCACUGGGGCAGAAAUUGUGAGCAUACCUCCCACUACUUUUAGGACUCUGGGGGAUCCAUUUCUUUCUUCUUUAAUUGAAACAAAGCAAAGAAGCGUGAUCUUUAGGUGAAAAGGAAUUUUGAACUAGAAAAUCUGCAGUCAUUACAUGCCCCCUCCUUUAUUUUUACAUGCAAAUCAUCUUUGGGGAAAGGAUCUCAGGGAUCUUGUUGGAACUUGCUUGAAAACAAUAGGCUGAGUCUAUUAGCACCCUGUUCUUCACAAGAAAAGAAAAAGAAUCAUUUUGAAGUAGUGUCAGAAGAUGUUAAGAUUUUAUGAGGGCUUCACAUAACACUCGUCUGUAUCACUUUCCAAUGGAAAAAAAUCAGGAGAUUUAUUCUCAUAGAUGUUGCUGACACGUUAGCAUCUUAGAAAAUCAUUUUGCAACAACCCAUCUAAACUCCUCACUCAGUACAAUGUGGAAACUAACUUGGCCUUUUCUUUUCCUCUCCCUGUAGCCACACCAUGCCUCUUGACAUUUCCUGCACCUGGUAUGUGUUUAUGCCGGGCCUUUGUGGAACAUUCCUACCUGGAACAUUCUCCAUCCUCUGCUUCCUCUCAGGCCUUGUUCACCUAGAAACUCCAACUCACCUUUCAUGGCCUAGUACACUUGUCCCUUCUUCUGUGAUGUUCUCCAUGAUUUCUCCCCCAUUCUUGCCCACAGCUUCCCUGCAGUUGCCCCCAGCAUUUGGAUAGGCUCUAUCAUAGAAUUUCUCAAAUCAUGUGCCCAUUGUACUUACAUUACCUCCUUGAGGGUGGGCACUGUGGCUUGUCUGACCCCUGUAUUCCCUGUAGUUUGGGCAGUGAUUUGCAGAAACAGGCAUUUAAUAAACACUCGA